AAUAUUUACAUUACUAUUCAUAACAGUAGCAAAAUUACAGUGAUGAAGUAACAGAAAACAUAAUUUUAUGGUUUGGCUCACAAUAACACGAUGGACUAUGUUCAAGGAUUGCAGCAUUAGGAAGUUGAGAGCCACUGAGUUAGAAUCUCUUGCAAAAGACUGAAGUUCCUAAACCCACAGAGGGAGGCUCAGAGACCACCUAUAACUCCCACUCCAGAAUCCAAUGUACUCUUUUGGAUUCUGCAUGUACCCCUUCCGGUACUCACAUGCACACAUACACACAGAUACACAUAUACUUCAAAAUAAAAUAAAUACAAUGAACUACAACUCAAGCCCUAGGCGUUGAGUCUAACGCGUUGCUGCAUUCAGCUUCUUGUUUUCCGGUGUCUGUGCCUCUCAUGGAUGAAGACUUUAUUUCCAGGGAAUAUUAUGUUCACUGAAAAGAAACGAUAGACAUCUUUCUUGGAAAAAAAAUAAUGAUGUGGUUGUUCUUGCCUGCAAUCCCAGUACUUGGGAAGUGGAAGCAGAAUUGUGACCACAAUAUCAUUCUCUGUUAGACAAUGAGUUCCAGGACAGCCUCGAUUAAAUGACACCCUUCCUCCCAAAAAAGUUUUUUGUUGUUAUUGAUAACAAAACUUAGGAUUCAUUGACUCUUGUAGAUCAUUAUUUUGAAAAAUGCAUAAUAUUUGAGUUUUUUAAAAAACAGCACAUUUAAAACAAAGUAUCCAGAGCCCUAAGGUCAGCGAUAGAGACAUGGAAUACUUGAAAACUUACUUAGAACCUCUAGACAGCCAACUGCCAUUGCCCAAGUGGACAUCUUCGUUUUUGAUGAAUCCCUUUUCAGGUGGAAGAGAGUGUCUAGCAGGUGCAAGGCACUGGUUCAAUUCCAAAUACCUCAGGAGGUCAUUCGGGCUUUGCACACACAGUGCAUCAACAGAUGUACAACAAGCUAACCAGGCAGAUCUUAUAUAGGGUACAGAUGAAGCAGAUCUGAGGACCAUGGGUCAAAGAAGCAAUGCUGAGCUACCUAACCCAUCUGGGGUUCCGAUCCUUGGGCUUCUUGUUGGAGAUCUUCCACUACUCCAGGUUUCUCUCCUUGAAGAACUAGGAAUGUCCACCCCUCAUCCAGCCUGAUGGUCUGUAAAGUCCAUGCUUUGUAUCUGCAUCAGCUGGUACAUCAGGGAUGCUGGCAACACAGUUCAAACAAGUCACUCCUCCAGGAAUCCUCUGUUUAGAACCAUGUGUAUCGGGUCUAAAACUUUAAAACUAUACACACGCUUAAACGAAUGUAUGCAGAUAGAUAGAUAGAUAGAUAGAUAGAUAGAUAGAUAGAUAGAUAGAUAGAUAUCUCCUGUUGUAUUCCAGUGGUGGACUGUAGGAUUUCCAUCACCUUGAAGCUCCAAAUCUAUCCUGCAUCACCUGACACUCAUCAAAGAAGCCCUCUUCCAGCUCUGUGUUGAAGAAGAAUAUUGGUAUGUCUCCAAUAUUCAUGAGCAUCUCUAGUCAGCAAUGACCGAGGUGGAUUUUAAUAAUUAACUCAUUAGACCAAUUUAUUUCUCUAAUUGCUUGUGAAGCUUUGUUAACUAAGAGACAAUAAAACAAUUAAAAUUUGGGAAAAUAUUAAAAAUCUUGGUUGAGCGGCCGUAUUAAGCAUUCACAGAGCAAUGAAAACAGACAGGAGGCCCUAAUUAUUGUGGGAAUGAGUGUUUAAAUGUUUACAAAUUUCACUUUGAUUAAAAUCAUUUUGUUUUUAUAGAUAUGUGCUGCCUGCUGCUUACAGUGGAGCUUGGGUUGCAAGAGUUCUGGGAGCUCUGCUAGGUUCAAAGACCUUUCUUCUUAGCUUUGGGAAGAAAUCUAUUGGGAAAUAUCUAUUAAGAUCUGGGACUUGUCUACAGUAUUACACACAUGUGUUUCUUAAAUAGAGAUGUAACCAUCUUCGCAGUGUUCUAUGGUCUGGAAACCCCUACAACAUAGCAUUCUCUCCAUCCCUCUAAACAUCGUCACUGUCCAAGUUUAUGAUCUCCCCGUGCAAACUAGGGAGAUAUAUACAUAGUUUGUACAGCCUACUGCCAUGCCCAAAUUUCUGGUGACCAACCAUCUCCCAUCCUUCCACUCAUUAUAAUCACAGAGAGGGGACUCUCCAGUUCCCACCAGCAUGUCUCUUAUUAGCAAACCAAACUGAGCACCAGAUCAGAAGUCCCAUCAAAAACCGUGAGCAGCCCUGAGCCAUUGGGAUAUUAGAAGUACUUUUGUGGAGGUACAGAAGGAAAUUACCCGACUUGUAACCCCAAGAGGCUUGUAACCACAAGGCAGCGUCAGCAGACUCUCUUGGGAGCUUCCUAGAUAGGCAGGCCACCACCUACAUUUAGAAUCUGCAGUGCAGUGAGAUGCUCCCAGGUUCGUAGAACAUCUCGGAAGUCGGGAAGCCCUGAGCUCUGUGCAUUCGUAUUCAUUCUCAGGCUGAUUACUUCUGUUUUGUUCUCAUAUAAAGCCAUACUCCUUCCCCAGUUCAGUUUUCAUGGCAGCUCUUCUGUAUUAACUUCAGUGCAUGUCGUUCAUGCCUGUCACCCGAAGCAGUAGCUAUUCUGUGUAUAUUUGCUAUUGCAUCCCUGUGGUCUGAGUUCCCAGCCCUUUCUGAGGUUCAGACUCUUCUGGCUGCAGGAUCUUGAUGGUACUGUCAUAAAAGGACAUGAGGAGUUUGCCAUCGCAGACUCCUCCUGUCACCUGCGGGAUGAGCCCUGCCAUCGUAAGAAAUCACUGCUCCUCCCUGUGCUUUGUUUCUUCAUCAUUGCAGUGGUGUCUCUAGCAUUAAACACAGAUACAUAAGGGAAAAUAUUCCAUGCCUGGCCCAGGACAGAAGGUCCACAGAUGUCUCUUUGCCAUUACAGUUGCCCUACCUCCUAAGCAGGGAUGAGACAUUCCAAGACCCUAAACCUUCUGUUUGAAACUAUUUGUACUGAAUAUAUAUAUAUGCAUGUAAUAAGGUUUAACCCAUAAAAUAGGUGCAGUGAGGUCCAAUAAUUAUAGCUAAUAAAUACCAAAGUAGAACAAUUAUAACUCUGGUGGGCUAGUGCACACUGACAUCUCAGGACUUACGAGGAUGCUGCAGGAGGAACCUGAAUUCCAUACCUCACAACAAGCUCCUAUCUCAAAACCCCAGUCCAACCCAACCAACCCAAACGAAAAUAAAGUAAGAGUCAUUUGAAUACAAGCCUCUCACAAUCGUUCACCUUAUAAACAACAACCACCUCAUGAACAAUAGAGAACAUAAACAAUUUUGUUUAAACAAUAAACAAAACAAAGGGGGUUAACAGACAAGAGGUGUCUACUUAUAGGGGAUACACUGUACAAAAGGAUGAUGUUCGUUCAAGACAGGAUCAACUGGAAUGGGGUACGAUCUCAUCAGAACCGUGCUCAAUUUAAAACUGAUCAAUCGCUCAGUUCUGGGACUUUCCAUGUAAUCAUUUCCGACAGCAUUUGACCUUGAGUAAGUGAAAUGCAGACAGCCAAAACAGACGAGGGGGCAGCUUUGUAGUUUUUAAGUGAAAAGCACCAAUACUUUAUAGAGGGCACGGUGAAACUAGAGGGAAAAAAAAAUCUGUUCCUCUGAUAGCUAGUCAGGCUGUGGCAAGUUCUACAUGAAUUUAAGUAUGUUCUUUUGCCCUAAACUUUCC
rnacentral:lncRNA from 1 species